rnacentral:lncRNA from 1 species
GUCCGCGCGGCGGUUCUGUCCUUCUGCGCCUCGUCGGCGCUGGGAUGCUGGAACUCGAAGCGCACGAAGGCGUCCAGAUCCUUGGGGGCGACCCCUAAACGAUGGAAAACGGCCUCAAAACCCACCGCCCCCCCCCACCCCCCCAAAAUCCUCCCCCCCUGGGCUGAGGGACCCCCGAAGCCAAGACCCCCCCCCCUUCUGCCCCCCUCCUCACCGGGCGGCGCGGGGAGGUUGAUGCCUCUGACGAUGCACAGCAGCAAAUCGCCGCUGCUCAGCUCGGGGAAGGUCCUGAAAGGGGGUAAAAAGGGGUGAAAAAGGGGGGGCAGGGGGGGCAGGGGGGGGUGGGAGGGGGGCGGGGGGGAAGGGGGGGAAGGGAGGAGCCCAAAAGGAGGCAGCGGGACCCGAAGGGGGGAGCACAAAGUAAGGGGGGGCCCUAAAAGGAGAGGACCCCGAAAGAAGAAGGAGGACCCCAAAGAAGAAGGUGGAUCCCAAAAGAAGAGGGGAGGAGCCCAAAAGAAGGAGGACCACAAAUGAGGAGGGAGGACCCCAAAAGCAGACCCCAAAAGAAAAGGGCAAACCCCAAAAGCAGAGAGCGGAACCGAAAGGAGGAGGAGGACCCCAAAAAAGGGGAUGGACCCCAAAAGAAGAGGAAAGGACCCCAAAUGAAGAGAAGACCCCAAAUGAGGAGGGAGGACCCCAAAAGAAGGAGGUGGAACCCAAAGCACAGGGCGGACCCCAAAAGCAGAGGGAGGACCCCAAAGAGGAGGGGGGACCCCAAAAGAAAAGGGCAGACUCAAAAAGAGGGGGGAUCCCAAAGAAGGAGAAGGACCCCAAAAGCAGACCCCAAAAGGGCAGACCCCAAAAGAAAAGGGCAGACCCCAAAAAGAGGAGGGAACCCAAAGCAGGAGGACCCCAAAAGCAGCCCCAAAGGCUCCGUGCCGCACUUGACGGCGCUGAAGCUCCGCUGCUCCCAGCGGCUCCGCGGCUCCGGGCCGCCCUGCGCGCGGCUCUGCUGCAGCACCUGGGCGCUGCGCCGGCACUCCUGCGCCAGCAGCUCCAGCCUGCGGGCGGGAAACACGUCAGCACCCACAGCAGCACCCACUGCAGCACCCACAGCAGCACCCACAGCAGCACCCACGUCAGCACCCACAGCGGCACCCACAGCGGCACCCACAGCAGCACCCACAGCGGCACCCACUGCAGCACCCACAGCGGCACCCACAGCGGCACCCACUGCAGCACCCACAGCGGCACCCACAGCAGCACCCACAGCAGCACCCACAGCGGCACCCACGUCAGCACCCACAGCAGCACCCACAGCAGCACCCACUGCAGCACCCACAGCGGCACCCACUGCAGCACCCACAGCAGCACCCACAUCACCACCCACAGCGGCACC